rnacentral:lncRNA from 1 species
AUUGAACAUAGUGUAAUUUGAAAAACAAGAAAUUAAUAAGUUUUUGGAUUUAAGUGUGUUACUAUUUUAGAUUGUAAUGUUGUUUUUUCCUUUCUAAAUUUCUUAUAUAUGAGUUUUUAUUACCUUUAUAAGAAUGUCUUUUAUUAAAAUGUCUUCCUGAAGCAAUAAAGUUAAAUGGCUCAAAAUUACUAUGUCUUAAUCUGAUGCAGUUACUACCAGUACUUUAGCUAUGGGAGUACAUUUGCCUGCUCACCUAGUAGUUAUAAAAUCUACAAUGCAUUAUGCUGGAGGACUGUUUGAAGAGUACAGUGAAACAGAUAUUCUACAGAUGAUUGGUAGAGCUGGUCGACCUCAAGUUUUGCAUCUGGAUUGAACAAAGAUGGAAUUGAAGCAAAAUUACAAGAAUUAUGUUUGAAGAAUCUGAAUGAUUUAUCAUCCCUGGACUUAAUAAAGAUGGAUGAAGGUGUUAAUUUCAAACCAACUGGUAAUUCCCUAUCAUUGUCAGUAAAUUUAGCAAUUGUUUACUUAAGACUAAAUUAAAAUUUUGUUUUACUAAAGUUUAGAUGAUGAUAACUAAAUUGUGAGCUCAGUUCUCAACAGGGUGUCAUCAUUAUUAGCCGUAGGCAUGAUAAAUUUAAAC